rnacentral:rRNA from 1 species
AGAGUUUGAUCCUGGCUCAGGACGAACGCUGGCGGCACGCUUAACACAUGCAAGUCGAACGAGAGAAGAGGAGCUUGCUUUUCUGAUCUAGUGGCGGACGGGUGAGUAACACGUGAGCAAUCUGCCUUUCAGAGGGGGAUACCGAUUGGAAACGAUCGUUAAUACCGCAUAACAUAAUUGAACCGCAUGAUUUGAUUAUCAAAGAUUUAUCGCUGAAAGAUGAGCUCGCGUCUGAUUAGCUAGUUGGUAAGGUAACGGCUUACCAAGGCGACGAUCAGUAGCCGGACUGAGAGGUUGAUCGGCCACAUUGGGACUGAGACACGGCCCAGACUCCUACGGGAGGCAGCAGUGGGGAAUAUUGCACAAUGGAGGAAACUCUGAUGCAGCGAUGCCGCGUGAGGGAAGAAGGUUUUAGGAUUGUAAACCUCUGUCUUCAGGGACGAAAAAAGACGGUACCUGAGGAGGAAGCUUCGGCUAACUACGUGCCAGCAGCCGCGGUAAUACGUAGGGAGCGAGCGUUGUCCGGAAUUACUGGGUGUAAAGGGAGCGUAGGCGGGAUCGCAAGUCAGAUGUGAAAACUAUGGGCUUAACCCAUAAACUGCAUUUGAAACUGUGGUUCUUGAGUGAAGUAGAGGUAAGCGGAAUUCCUAGUGUAGCGGUGAAAUGCGUAGAUAUUAGGAGGAACAUCAGUGGCGAAGGCGGCUUACUGGGCUUUAACUGACGCUGAGGCUCGAAAGCGUGGGGAGCAAACAGGAUUAGAUACCCUGGUAGUCCACGCCGUAAACGAUGAUUACUAGGUGUGGGGGGACUGACCCCUUCCGUGCCGCAGCAAACGCAAUAAGUAAUCCACCUGGGGAGUACGACCGCAAGGUUGAAACUCAAAGGAAUUGACGGGGGCCCGCACAAGCAGUGGAGUACGUGGAUUAAUUCGAAGCAACGCGAAGAACCUUACCAGGUCUUGACAUCGUAUGCAUAGCUCAGAGAUGAGUGAAAUCUCUUCGGAGACAUAUAGACAGGUGGUGCAUGGUUGUCGUCAGCUCGUGUCGUGAGAUGUUGGGUUAAGUCCCGCAACGAGCGCAACCCUUACUGUUAGUUGCUACGCAAGAGCACUCUAGCAGGACUGCCGUUGACAAAACGGAGGAAGGUGGGGAUGACGUCAAAUCAUCAUGCCCCUUAUGACCUGGGCCUCACACGUACUACAAUGGCUGUCAACAGAGGGAAGCAAAGCCGCGAGGUGGAGCGAACCCCUAAAAGCAGUCUUAGUUCGGAUUGUAGGCUGCAACCCGCCUACAUGAAGUCGGAAUUGCUAGUAAUCGCAGAUCAGCAUGCUGCGGUGAAUACGUUCCCGGGCCUUGUACACACCGCCCGUCACGCCAUGGGAGUCGGUAACACCCGAAGCCUGUAGUCUAACCGCAAGGAGGACGCAGUCGAAGGUGGGAUUGAUGACUGGGGUGAAGUCGUAACAAGGUA